rnacentral:rRNA from 1 species
GACAGAGGGUGCAAACGUUGUUCGGAAUUACUGGGCGUAAAGCGUGUGUAGGCGGCUACAUAAGUCGGAUGUGAAAGCACCGGGCUCAACCCGGGAAGUGCACUCGAUACUGCGUAGCUUGAGUCUCGGAGAGGUUGGUGGAAUUCUCGGUGUAGAGGUGAAAUUCGUAGAUAUCGAGAGGAACACCGGUGGCGAAGGCGGCCAACUGGACGAAGACUGACGCUGAGACACGAAAGCGUGGGGAGCAAACAGG